UAGGGAAUCUUGCGCAAUGGGCGAAAGCCUGACGCAGCCAUGCCGCGUGAAUGAUGAAGGUCUUAGGAUUGUAAAAUUCUUUCACCGGGGACGAUAAUGACGGUACCCGGAGAAGAAGCCCCGGCUAACUUCGUGCCAGCAGCCGCGGUAAUACGAAGGGGGCUAGCGUUGCUCGGAAUUACUGGGCGUAAAGGGCGCGUAGGCGGACAGUUUAGUCAGAGGUGAAAGCCCAGGGCUCAACCUUGGAAUUGCCUUUGAUACUGGCUGUCUUGAGUGCGGGAGAGGUGUGUGGAACUCCGAGUGUAGAGGUGAAAUUCGUAGAUAUUCGGAAGAACACCAGUGGCGAAGGCGACACACUGGCCCGUUACUGACGCUGAGGCGCGAAAGCGUGGGGAGCAAACAGGAUUAGAUACCCUGGUAGUCUACGCCGUAAACGAUGAAUGCUAGUUGUCGGCAUGCAUGCAUGUCGGUGACGCAGCUAACGCAUUAAGCAUUCCGCCUGGGGAGUACGGUCGCAAGAUUAAAACUUAAAUGAAUUGACGGGGUCAUAGCUGUUUCCUG
rnacentral:rRNA from 1 species